AAAGCUCGUAGUUGAAUCUGGGUCGUGCGGUCGCAUGUCGUUACUUGUUCACGGUUUUGAUUACGAUCAGGACCAGUGCUCAGCUCAGUGUAGUGGCUGUGCAGCCUUUCAGUCGUGUCUGUAUUAAACGGGUACUGGUGGGUUAAUGAGUUCAUCUUGUUGACUUAUCGGCAUGCUUCUGAAUGCCUUUAAAUGAGUGUCGGGAGCGGACGGCAUCUCAAAGUAGGCUUGUGUACCUGAAAAUUCUUGUAUGGAAUAAUGAAAAAGGACUUCGGUUCUAUUUUGUUGGUUUUCGGAUCCGAAGUAAUGGUUAAGAGCGAUAGACAGGGGCAUUUGUAUGGCUGUGCUAAGAGUGAAAUUCUGGGAUCGCCGCCAGACAAACUACAGUGAAAGCAUUUGCCAAGAAUGUUUUCAUUGAUCAGAAGCGAAAGUCUGAGUUUCGAAGACGAUCAGAUACUUUCGUAGUUCUGACCAUAAACGAUGCCAACUGACGAUUCGCGUUGGUUCUAUAAAUCACCAAUACGUUUUAUUCACCAUGAGAAAAUUCAUUCACAGUAGAAUUGUUUCUUUU
rnacentral:ncRNA from 1 species